rnacentral:rRNA from 1 species
ACACGGCUGAACCAGCAACUUGGAAGAAUGUAUAACGAAUAAGUCGUAUAAAAUUCUAGAUAGAAAAUUGAUAAUGACUACUAUCUAUCUAUUAGUCUUGACCAAAUUACGUGCCAGCAGUCGCGGCAACACGCAGAAGACAAGUGUUAUUCAUCUUUAAUCGGUUUAAAGGGUACCUAGACGGGAAAUCAAGCCUUAGUAGGGACUAAUUUUCUAGAGUUUUAUGGGGGAAAGUCGAACACCUGGAGGAGAGAUAAAAUAUUGUGAUACCAGAGAGACGGGUAACGGCGUAGGCAACUUUCUAUGUAAAAACUGACGUUGAGGGACGAAGCCCUGGGUAACGAGAAGGAUUAGAUACCCCAGUAGUCCAGGGAGACAAUGAUGAGUGCCAUAGGCUAGAUAAAUUAGUCUAUAAAUGAAAGUGCAAGCAUUCCACCUCAAGACUAAAGCGGCAACGCCCAAAUUGAAAUCAUUAGACCGUUCCUGAAACCAGUAGUGAAGUAUGUUAUUUAAUUCGAUGAUCCGCGAAUAACCUUACCACGUUUUGAAUACAUAGGAAGAAAAGCACUGCAGGGUGCUUUUCUGCCCAUGAUUCAUACAAGCGCUGCACGGCUGUCUUUAGUUAAUGUCGUGAGACUUUGGUUAACUCCUUUAAUUAACGAAAACCCUUGUUUUAUUUGUUUAUAUAAAACAGUUCUCCGCUAUAUUGGAUAAGAUAAUAGGGAUUAAGGCAAGUCAUCAUGGCCUUAAUAGCGUGGGCUAUAGACGUGCCACAUAUGCCUUUACAAAAGGAUGCGAUA